UGGUGAAAGGCUCGCUUUGUAUUCUGUUGAGUGAGCAAAUGAUAAAUAAGGCUAUUCGCUCAGGAUGCUCGAUCCAAUCUUGAGAAAGAUCCUUCCCCUUUUCCUAUCCUCCAGCCCACAAGGGUCUUUCUCCCUCCCCUAGGUAGAGGUCUUUGUCUCCUUUCAAC
ensembl:misc_RNA